rnacentral:rRNA from 1 species
AUUGAACGCUGGCGGCAGGCCUAACACAUGCAAGUCGAGCGGAUGAAGGGAGCUUGCUCCUUGAUUCAGCGGCGGACGGGUGAGUAAUGCCUAGGAAUNUGCCUGGUAGUGGGGGACAACGUUUCGAAAGGAACGCUAAUACCGCAUACGUCCUACGGGAGAAAGUGGGGGAUCUUCGGACCUCACGCUAUCAGAUGAGCCUAGGUCGGAUUAGCUAGUUGGUGGGGUAAAGGCCUACCAAGGCGACGAUCCGUAACUGGUCUGAGAGGAUGAUCAGUCACACUGGAACUGAGACACGGUCCAGACUCCUACGGGAGGCAGCAGUGGGGAAUAUUGGACAAUGGGCGAAAGCCUGAUCCAGCCAUGCCGCGUGUGUGAAGAAGGUCUUCGGAUUGUAAAGCACUUUAAGUUGGGAGGAAGGGCAGUAAGUUAAUACCUUGCUGUUUAGACGUACCG